rnacentral:rRNA from 1 species
CCUACGGGUGGCAGCAGUGGGGAAUAUUGCACAAUGGGCGCAAGCCUGAUGCAGCGACGCCGCGUGCGGGAUGGAUGCCUUCGGGUUGUAAACCGCUUUUGUUCAAGGGCAAGGCACGGUCUUUGGCCGUGUUGUGUGGGUUGUUCGAAUAAGCACCGGCUAACUACGUGCCAGCAGCCGCGGUAAUACGUGGGGUGCAAGCGUUAUCCGGUUUUAUGUGGUGUAAAGGGCUCGGUGGCGUGUCGUUGCGUUCGGUGUGUAAGUCCAGCGAUUAAAGGUGGAGCCGUGCCGGGUACGGGCGGGCUUGAGUGCGGUAGGGGAGACUGGAAUUCCCGGUGUAACGGUGGAAUGUGUAGAUAGCGGGAAGAACACCAGUGGCGAAGGCAGGUCUCUGGGCCGUUACUGACGCUGAGGAGCGAAAGCGUGGGGAGCGAACAGGAUUAGAUACCCUUGUAGUC